AAGAAAUAAUAUUUUAUUCAUCAAAGUCACAUUAAAUUGAUCAAAAGUGACAGUAAAGACAUUUAUAAUGUUACAGAAGGAGUGGAGACAGGUGAAGAGCGCCACCGUGUGGACAUUUGAAGAACUACAAAAACAAGACAAAUCACAGCAGGUCACAGCGGAGUGAUUCUGGUGUAAACACCCGGUUUAUUGACUCGUCCACAUCCUUCACCCCAACUCACCACACCAGCCAACCACCAGCCCCCCGCUUCAGCCCGACACACCAGAGGACCCCCGCUGUCUCCCUGAAUAGAAACACUGAGGUCGGUGAGGACACAGGAGUCUCUCUCAGGAGGGUUUAACAGAUGUGGCAUGAGUGCUGACAGCGUGUACGGGGCCAGUUCAGAGACCCCCAGCAGCUGGACACAACCAGCAGAGACCUGUGG